CCCAUUAUGCUAUAAGCGCCGUCUGAGCUCCUACGGUAGGAAGAUGAAGGAGCCAUGGUCCAGCCUUAGAGGAGGGCGUAGUACAGAGGGGCACAGAAAUGUCAACCAGUUAUCAUAAUGUCCACCCCGGGGCUGAAAGGGCAUAAAAGUGAGAAGGUUCUGAUGGAGAGGCCUUCCUGAAUCUUCUGAAGUUUCUCCAGACUGCUUAUAUUGGGUUGCAGUGGAUAAUGACCAGGGAUAGAGAUCCAGUUCCAAUUACAUACAGUUGAGCGUACAUGGACACACAGCAUUUGGGAGAAUGCUCCAAGUAAUCUGAGGGAACUUAGCCUUUCAGGUUGGCCUUGAGACUUACUUUGUGCUCUGGUAAGAAGGAGAAGGAAGUGAUACUGUGCUGGUGCCAGGCCUAAGCCUUCAAAAGACAGGCAGCUUCCAAUAUUGUGCUCCUGAGAGCCAGCUGCCAUGCCGUCAGGAAGCUCCAGUAGACUACUGAAGGAUAAGAGGGCAUGGAAGGUCCUGGAGUGUGAGAGGCCAUCUUGUGAAUACCAGCACCAGCCAAGCUCCAAGCUUAGAGCACCUCCUGAAUGACCUUACUUAUACCUUGGGAGAGCAGAGAAACUGCUCAGCUGAGCCCAGUCAACCCACAGAAUUGACAAGGACAAAUUAAGAUCAGCAGAUGAGAAAAGCCACUGAAAUUAUUAGUUUUGAAUUGUGUUGUCUUCAAAAUGCUACACAAGAGGUCCUCAACUGAGUGGAACAUCUCUUUUAGUAUGUGCCCAAUUCAACCUGUCACCAUCCCAGCAGACUUUGGCCCAAUUUUAAUUGGCCAGAAAAUUGUGGAGAGAGGGCCCCUCCCUGCCUCUUUAUCUAAGUAAAUGUGAAACUGCACAGAA